AUGGUCAUUGCCAGUAGACGGUUUCAGCUCCGUUGCCACGAGGCCUGGAUUGGCCUCGGCGAACUUCACCAUGUACAACGCACCCCUCUUCUCAGCCUUUGGUGCGCCUUGGCUGAUGGUGUGCCUUUUCCACACGGAAACAAUAUGUAUAACAUGGGCAACGGACUACGCCUCCUCGACCGACUCUGCCUUGGGAGAGUUGAGCUCAGCCCGACUUUGGAUGUAUGCCACCGCAUCGUACAUGUGUGUGACAAGCUCAGUGGUCUCCAAAGUGAUCUCGAUGGCGUAGUGGGCCAAUUGUCAGCGCUGAACGCUAUGGUAUGCGUGUGGCGCUUGCGGCAGGGCAGCGUGGCGGAGUUGCACGCAACGGAGCCUGACAUGGCAGGAAUCCGGCUGAAGCGGCGGCCGAAUCCAGCUGUGGAGCGUCGUGAUCGAUAG
rnacentral:rRNA from 1 species